GAUGAACGCUGGCGGCGUGCCUAAUACAUGCAAGUCGAACGGACAGGCCCUGCUUUUGCGGCGUGCUCGAGUGGCGAACGGGUGAGUAACACGUGAGUAACCUGCCCCUGUCUUUGGGAUAACUCCAGGAAACUGGGGCUCAUACCGGAUAGGAGCUCCUGCUGCAUGGUGGGGGUUGGAAAGUUUCGGCGGUUGGGGCUGGUCUCGCGGCUUAUCAGCUUGUUGGUGGAGUAGUGGCUUACCAAGGCUUUGACGGGUAGCCGGCCUGAGAGGGGGACCGGGCACAAUGGGACUAAGAGACGGCGCAGACGGCAACGUGAGGCAACGGUCGGAAGUAUUACAGAGUAGGCGGAAGCGAGAGACAACGACGCCGGGUGCGUGAUGACGGCCUACGAGUUGUAAACAGAUGUGGCCGGUGACGAGGCGUGAGUGACGGUAAUGGAUAAAGAAGCACCGGCUAACUACGUG
rnacentral:rRNA from 1 species